AGUCUGCAACCCGACUACAUGAAGCUGGAAUCGCUAGUAAUCGCGAAUCAGAAUGUCGCGGUGAAUACGUUCCCGGGUCUUGUACACACCGCCCGUCACACCAUGGGAGUCAGUAACGCCCGAAGUCAGUGACCCAACCGGAAGGAGGGAGCUGCCGAAGGCGGGACGGAUGACUGGGGUGAAGUCGUAACAAGGUACC
rnacentral:rRNA from 1 species